UUAUAAUAAAGCCUAUUAAAUAUACCAGUGAUGAACGGGGAGAACUGGUCUGUUUGCCAAUGACAAACAUUAAAAAACUAAUUCAUGUGGCCGUGUUCAGCGUUCUGAGUUGGACGUCAGCUCUGAACAGCAGAGUAACAGGCUCAAACGCACGGAGGCCUUUAGCAGCUCUUUAUCUGUCUAUUCUGGGUUGGAGCCGAGCCGCAGUAUUAACCCUAAUCCAGCCGCAGCAUGUUGUUUUGAUGAAGUGGUCACGCGGAUCAGCUCCAUAUCUCACCAUCUGUCUCUCUCUACAGGUUCAUUGAGAGUGAAGUUGGUCACACUUCUUCAUAGGCUCUGCUGUCAUGGAGGGAUUCUGACAAACCCUCAGCAGCUGACUAACAUGACAUGGGAUGCGGAGUCACGAAAUCAAACCAACUGCAGCUGAAACCAUGCGAUCGCGGUGCGUGAACCACAAGAUGAUUAAAAAAUUCAGAGCUUUCAGCUGAAUAUCUGCCUGAGAAACAGCUCACAUUGCUCUGUGUCUGUCUUUGUCUCUGUCGUGUCUGUCUGUAGGAAACAUUUCCGUUCCAGCAGCUACAGGUCAGACGGAUCACAUGUUUCUGUGAGUCUAAAGAAACAUCACCGUCACUCAUGUCUCCUGCUGGCCUGACUUUCUCUCGUCUGUCUGUCUGUCUGUCUUUCUCUGUCUGUAUGAUGCGAUGCGGGCGGCGCUGCUCAUCCAGCGCUGGUACCGUCAGUAUGUGGCGCGGCUGGAGAUGAGACGCCGCUGCACCUGGAACAUCUUUCAGUCGAUAGAGUAUUCUGGACAACAGGAUCAUAUCAAGCUGUAUAAUUUCUUCGGUUACCUGAUGGAUCAUUUCAGUUCUGCCAACAGCCGAAGAAAGAAGCAAGUUCUUCAGCU